AGUGGGGCAAGCACGGCAUCCUCCUCAGGGGGCCACGAAGUCCAUAAGAGGAAAAUGAAUCUCAUAUAAAUACUCAUGAGGAGUCCUGGGAAGAAUCAGAAGUCCAAGGAGUUUUAACACUCCGGAGGGCAGAGAUGGGAGGAUGAGGACUACAAGACUACAAGAGACCCUAUCUCAAGACAGUAACAUCUGGCUUAGAUUUUGGGGGUGUCUGCUCUGUAUCCCAGCAUUUGGAAGCCAGUGGCAGAAGAUCAUACAGUUCGGGGUGAACCUGAUGCAUAGGAUGUGAAGACUUGAGUCUGUCCUCCCAGGUUUUAGGAAUUAGGAGCCUGAGGCCAGAGGAUGAUGAAUUUGAGUCCAGCCUGAGCUACACGUUUCUACUGAGCCACAUCUGCACCUGUACCACUAGGACGGCCAGAAUGCUGGCACCGCAGUCUCGGUACACGCUAGUUGUGUCGCACGGGGUUUCCUGUUCAUCUUUGCUAGAUCAUAGAAGUUGCAUAGCUGUGAGAGGUGGAACGGGUGCCUGAGCCUCUGAGUAUUUGCGUCUUGUCUUUGGCGCUCUCCCCUCCUCUGAAGAUCCAAGUUCUGUUCCAAGCACACAUCGGAGGGCUCACAACCUUCUGGAACUCCAGCUCCGUGGGAUCCUAAGACCACUUAGACUCCACGGGCACCUGCACCACACAUGCAGAUACCCCCCAGACACACAGUUGCAAAAUAAAAACAAAGCUUUAAAAAAGAAAUUGUAUGUGGUGUGUGUAUGUAUGUUAUAUCUGUGGUGUGAGUUUGUGUGCAUGGUGUG